GACAUAGGUGGCAAACGUUAUCCGGAUUUAUUGGGCGUAAAGGAUGCGUAGAUGGCAGAAUAAGUUAUUUGUAAAAUCAAAGCUCAACUUUGAGGAAGCAAAUAAUACUGUUCUACUUGGAGGAUAGGAGAAGUUGAUGGAAUUCGAUGUGGAGCGGUGAAAUGCGUAGAUAUAUCGAGGAAUACCAAAAAAGGCGAAAGCAGUUAACUAUUCUGUUCCUGACAUUGAGGCAUGAAAGCGUGGGGAGCAAAACGG
rnacentral:rRNA from 1 species